UACGUAGGCAGCGAGCGUUGUUCGGAGUUACUGGGCGUAAAGCGUGCGUAGGCGGUUUUGUAAGUUUGGUGUGAAAUCUCCGGGCUUAACCCGGAAAGGUCAGCCGAUACUGCGGGGCUAGAGUGCAGAAGGGGCAACUGGAAUUCUCGGUGUAGCGGUGAAAUGCGUAGAUAUCGAGAGGAACACCUGCGGCGAAGGCGGGUUGCUGGGCUGACACUGACGCUGAUGCGCGAAAGCUAGGGGAGCGAACGGG
rnacentral:rRNA from 1 species